UCGAGUUAGGGUCUCUCAGGCCCGACCUCCAACCCUUUGUUUACUCAACCACGUUGCUUCGGCGAGCCCGCUCCUCCGGGGGCCGUCGGGGGGGUGCAAAACCCCUUUGGCCCGCGCUCGUCGGUGGCCCCAAUCAUAACUCUUGUCAAAAUAUGUCGUCUGAAGUAUAAAAUUAAAUAAAAGCA
rnacentral:misc_RNA from 1 species